UCACUAAAACAUACAUUGGUCCUUGUGGUCUCUACUUGGAUCUAUCCAUCGUUUCGAGAAGGAGGGCGAAGCGAGAAAAUUUAUGAAAUAAAAAGUUGAGAGUGAAGGCCUCUACUUCCUUCUUCUACCAUUUAUAUAUUUUUUUUGGAAAACUGAAAUAAAAUAUAUGAAAUAUAAAGGUCAGAUUUGAAUGGGGGAAUUGCUGCGGUUAUAGCAGAAAAUUUGGAGCCGAUAAAGGAUCACGUUUCUUGAUGCCGAUUUGGUGUGGAUUUGGGACUUUUCUUUGCAUUCUAUGAAGCACUCUGUAUUUAAGAUACAUAUAAUGUUAUAUGUUGAACAGAGGCAAUAGAUGCCAAGCCAAAAGUAAGAAUGGGGACGAACACAUAAUCCAUAUCACCAAGUGUACUAAUUCAAGGUUCAUUGUUCUAAUUCUUAAAUUAAAAUUAAUUUUGUCUUGACUCCAAUUGUUUCAUGUCUUUCUUAACUUCCCAUACAUAGAUAUUGAUAAAGAGCUUCAGGAGGGUCAUUACUAAACAUCUACAAAUUUAUCUAAUUAGAUUGCGUAUGCCUUAGAUUUUUUAUUUAAUUGUUCUGUUUGCAUUCAGGUGUGAUGAUCUAAAUUUUAUAAGAACCCAGUUAGGAAAUUUGAGACCUUUAGCUUGGGGAGUUAGUUAAAUUUGUUAGAUUUUUCAUGGAUUUUGGGAUAAUAUUCUAUUUUUGUUCUAAUUGCUGCAUGAGCUUUGUAGCAGGGAAUUUGGCAUGAGCAGGAGUUUAAGGUCGAAGUGGAAGCGAUUGGCUGUGUUUGCUAUAGGAAUUUAGUGAGGUUGUUUGGUUAUUGUGAGCUCAUAGGGGAUGGACAGAAUACCCAGGCAACAAUCUCUCUGUGAUCAUUGCUGGGAAAAUAUUGUGGUCAUUUUGAGUUCGGAUUCAGUCAACAUGUGGGAAGCGUUUCUUCCGAUUACUUUCAUUUGUUUAUUUGUGAAUCAAUAACUUUUUUAGGAAUAAUGAAUGUCACAAUUGCUGAUAAAUUGAUACUUUGUUGGGAGCUUGAAUUGUAGAUCUAUGCAAGAUAUCCAUAAAUUGAUCAAUGCUAUGGACUCUUCUCAACAUAUGGACCUCAAAUUUCAGUGCGUCUUCCAUCAUUUAUCCUACCUAACUAUGUAUGGAGCUAUUACAUUUGCAAUCAUAUUAAUUCCUUGAAAACAAUAUUUAUAUUUCUUUAUAAACUGCUAAUUUUGGAAUAUACUAUCGUUUCCUUGCUAGUACAUUAAAAUGAAAAUAUGAAAAGUAGUCUCAAUCUCGCCUGGGGGUGUUGCAAGCCGAUUCAAUGCUACGAGGCACUUCAUUUAGGGCUAUCUGAGGGAGAGAGUUGUUGGGUGUCUGAGACAAGGGGUUUUAGGGAUUAGGUUUGGGUGGGAUUUCAAGGAUUAGGUUUUGGUGGGAUUUGAAUGAUUAUGUUUGGGUUUUUGUUUGUGCGAUUGGCAUAGAGAUGAGGAGGGUCCAAGAUAGGAUUUGGAGAUUUGGUUUAGGGUUUGCAGAGUCAGAGAUAAGGGUGUCCAAGAGAGAUGUGGGAGGAUUUAAGCGAGGGAUUUCAGGGAUUUGGUUUAGGGUUUGUUUUCUGUGAUUUGAACAGACAGAGAGAUGGGAGGAUUUUCUGCAAGGCUUGAAGGGAACGGAUAAGGGAGGUAUGGGUAUGGGUUUGUUGUGAUGGGGUUUAGUAAUUUUCAAUAUUCUUAGACUCUUUUUAAUCUGCAAAAUCAAAUUACCUAUGGAAUUUAUAACAUGCAAUUAGUUUCUUUUUA